GACUAGUCUGAAGGUAGUGAGUUAUCUCCCUUGAUGGUUCACAGUCAAAGAUUGAAUUCCCUGGUCUACUUUUCCCCACUUCUCACUACUGCACUUGACCAGUCUUAA
ensembl:Y_RNA Y_RNA Y RNA